GGGCUUUCCACGAGGCUCACUGGAGCAGAAGUUGUUUGCAGGCAUGAGAAAUCACAGUGAGAGCAACGCUUUUUCACCAUAUGUUAAUGUGAAGAGUGAACAGUAAAUGGUUAAUCUUACUGCGAUCUGGUUUGCAUUGGCUGUGGUUUAUCCGGACGUUAAAUUCGGCAUUCGUUACACCCGAAGGAGAACGUUACAAGGACCAAUCAAGUGUGACAGUGGAAAUGUGUAUAUGGAACCAGAGGAGAUAACAGAGGGGAUGUGGCAGGCAAAUGGUGGAUGGAUCUCCAAUCAAGUUGAACUUAGCUCAGCCAAUCACAUCCUCACAAUGUUGGCUCUCAUGUUCACAGUUACAAAUGUCAUUCCCAGAGGAAUUACCUUUCCUCAAGUAUGAAAUCUUAGAUGGGUAUCAACCAGCUAUGGUUUUGUAUCUUUGAAAUAACAUUUAAAUUCAUUUUGUGGAAUGACUAAAACAGCCCAGCCAGUGUCCAAUUCAAUUUUAAUUCAUUUAUUGUUCACUUCAUAUUGCUUGUCUAUUGUCAGUUUUCACAUCAAGGCUACACAGUCCUAGUCCUGUGUCACUCUUAUCAAUAUCAGAUUUUUCAUCAACAGCAUGUAGAUGAGAGCUCUUUCUGAAACUGCAAAUUGACUUUGUAUCUUUCCUCCUUCUCUGUGCAGUCCAUUUAUUUUUGUCUGCCCAACAUACUCUUUGUGUGUAUCCUAUUUUUUUCAAUGUUCCACAAAUGUUGCCUUCAAACCUGCAUUGGGCCCCAGCAACAACAGUAACACAACUUGUUUAGCCAAGCACACUUCAGUUUACACAUUGCAGUUUUGUUCACGCACUCUUUCAUUCUUGACUGCAAUUCAGUUGUGUCUCUGGCUACAGUUUCCAUUAAUAUAACAAUUUCAACUGCUCUUUUAAAUGUGAGUUGUGCUUCAGUUUGGAGCUAUUUUGAAUGCUUUCUCAUAGUACAUCAUUCAGCCCAUUCCUGAAUUGACAAUACUGAGAAAACUUUUUCAAUUCAACCACGUACACUAAAAUGGAUUCCCCUUCCUUUUGAUUCCACUUAUAAAAUCUAAAGCAUUCCACAAUCAACACUGGUUUUGAUUCAAAAUGUUCCUGCACUUCUUUCACAACAUCAGCAAAGCAUCAUUUCAGCUGGCUUGAAACCAAACACAUCAACUUUCCGAAGUAGCCACCAGUUCUGCUUUUUAUAUGAUUAUUAUCACCCAGUACUCAUUGUUUAUGAAUCCAUGAAUUCCUCCAUCUUUUGCUUUUUGUUUUACUUGAUUGUCUUUCCUUUUGGAAAGUAAACAUACUGCUGGGAAGAAAAAAAAUAAACUUCUUGUACUUUUUAAAAAUUCAACCA